UACGUAGGGGGCAAGCGUUGUCCGGAUUCAUUGGGCGUAAAGAGCGUGUAGGCGGCCAGGUAGGUCGGUUGUGAAAACUGGAGGCUCAACCUUCAGAGGUCGACCGAAACCAUCUGGCUAGAGUCCGGGAGAGGGGAGUGGAAUUCCUGGUGUAGCGGUGAAAUGCGCAGAUAUCAGGAAGAACACCCGUGGCUAAGGCGGCUCUCUAGUACGGUACUGACGCUGAGACGCGAAAGCGUGGGGAGCGAACAGG
rnacentral:rRNA from 1 species